ensembl:lncRNA
GUUCAGCUAAAGGCAAAGGCAGCGAGCGUCUGUGGGUCGUACUUGUGCUUGUGAGUGGCUGACGGGGUGUGAGGGUAAGGGCAGAAACACAGGGCCUCAAUUCCCUGCCCGACCAAGGGGCUCUCAGUAUCACAGAAAAGGGGAAGAUGGGGCUUGGGAUGGCACGGCGGUGGGACCUCCGGGAAGCAUCUCUCUCCAGCGCUGGCACUGCUGGCCCCCAGCUCUACCCCCGCAGAGGGACACUUGGGAUGGCUGUGGCACUGAGGUGUCAGCACGGAGGAGCUCUCUCACCCAGCUGGGACUGCGGAACGUGGGCCGCACACAGCAGUUCAGCUCAGGUGCCCUCCUGAGCAGAACCACCCACCUCCAGCACACCCGGCCCCGUAUCGAACCUUUGGCUUCACGGCUUGAGCAAUACGCCGGGGCUGAGGGGAGACCCGCGAGGGGAAGGCAAGGGGUGCAACCAGCGCUGC